GAGUUUGAUCGUGGCUCAGAUUGAACGCUGGCGGCAUGCCUUACACAUGCAAGUCGAACGGUAACAGGUCUUCGGAUGCUGACGAGUGGCGAACGGGUGAGUAAUACAUCGGAACGUGCCCAGACGUGGGGGGAUAACGAGGCGAAAGCUUUGCUAAUACCGCAUACGAUCUAAGGAUGAAAGCAGGGGACCGCAAGGCCUUGCGCGUUUGGAGCGGCCGAUGGCAGAUUAGGUAGUUGGUGGGAUAAAAGCUUACCAAGCCGACGAUCUGUAGCUGGUCUGAGAGGACGACCAGCCACACUGGGACUGAGACACGGCCCAGACUCCUACGGGAGGCAGCAGUGGGGAAUUUUGGACAAUGGGCGAAAGCCUGAUCCAGCAAUGCCGCGUGCAGGAUGAAGGCCUUCGGUUGUAACUAGUCUUUGUUACGGUAACGAAAGGACGUCUGGCGUAAUACCUGGGCGACGAUGACGGUACCGUAACGAAU
rnacentral:rRNA from 1 species